UGACAGUGUAUACUGGAAAAAAAAUCCCUCUUCAAUGGGGUUGACCCCAUUCUUGCUUCUCCUCACUCCUCAAUAAAAGAAAACCAGCAUUAAUUAGAGGAAAAAUGUUAACAGGUUAAGAUUAAAAAAAAAAAAGCUUAGGCCGGGUGUAGUGGCUCACACCUGUAAUCCCAGCAAUUUGGGAGGCCAAGGUGGGCGGAUCACUUGAGGUCAGGAGUUUGAGACCAGCCUGGCCAACAUGGUGAAACACUGUCUCUACUAAAAAUACAAAAAAUUAGUUGGGCAUCAUGGCAGGCGCCUGUAAUCCCAGCUACUCAGGAGGCUGAGGCACAAGAAUCGCUUGAACGCAGGAGGCAGAGGUUGCAGUGAGCCGAGAUCACACCCCUGCAUUCUAGCCUGGGUGACAGAGCAAGACUCUGUCUCAAAAAGAAACAACAACAACAAAAAUAAUUUAAAACCCAAAUGUUCAAUCAAGGGAUGGGAAAAUACUGAAAGCAUUAAAAGUUGAAAGGUUCACGCCUGUAAUCUCAGCACUUUGGGAGGCUGAAGCAGGAGGAUCGCCUGAGUCCAGGAAUUUGAGACCAGCCUGGGCAACAAAGCGAGACCCUGUCUCUACAAAAAAUAUUUAUAAAUAAAAAAUUAGCCAGACAUCGUAGCACGCACUUAUAAUCCCAGCUACUUGGGAGGCUGAGGUUGGAGGAUCACUUGGGCCCAGGAGAUAAAGGCUGGAGUGAGCCAUGAUUGCACCACUGCACUCCGGCCUGGGUGACAGAGCGAGACCCUGGCUUCAAAGAAUAAUAAUCAUAAUCCAAAAGAAAAACAAUA
rnacentral:lncRNA from 10 species